rnacentral:rRNA from 1 species
AGCGAACGCUGGCGGCAGGCCUAACACAUGCAAGUCGAACGGACCUUUCGGGGUUAGUGGCGGACGGGUGAGUAACACGUGGGAACGUGCCUUUAGGUUCGGAAUAGCUCCUGGAAACGGGUGGUAAUGCCGAAUGUGCCCUUCGGGGGAAAGGAUUUAUCGCCUUUAGAGCGGCCCGCGUCUGAUUAGCUUGUUGGUGA